UACGUGAGGGUGCAGGCGUUAAUCGGAAUUACUGGGCGUAAAGCGUGCGUAGGUGGUCUGUUAAGUCGUGAUGAUGGAAAGCCCUGGGCUCAACCUGGGAAUUGCAUUGGAUACUGGCAGGCUAGAGUGCGGUAGAGGGUAGUGGAAUUCCCGGUGUAGCAGUGAAAUGCGUAGAGAGUCGGGAGGAACACCAGUGGCGAAGGCGACUACCUGGACCAGCACUGACACUGAGGCACGGAAAGCGUGGGAGCAAACAGG
rnacentral:rRNA from 1 species